GAUGAACGCUAGCGACAGGCCUAACACAUGCAAGUCGAGGGGCAGCAUAAAGGUAGCAAUACUUUGGUGGCGACCGGCGCACGGGUGAGUAACACGUAUGCAACCUACCUGUAAGAGGGGAAUAACCCGGAGAAAUUCGGACUAAUACCGCAUAAUACCACGAAGCUGCAUGGCUUUGUGUUUAAACAUUUAUGGCUUACAGAUGGGCAUGCGUAUGAUUAGAUAGUUGGUAGGGUAACGGCCUACCAAGUCAACGAUCAUUAGGGGUUCCGAGAGGAAGGUCCCCACACUGGUACUGAGACACGGACCAGACUCCUACGGGAGGCAGCAGUGAGGAAUAUUGGUCAAUGGGCGAGAGCCUGAACCAGCCAAGUCGCGUGAAGGAAGAAGGUUCUAUGGAUUGUAAACUUCUUUUGUAAGGGAAUAAAAAGAGUUAACGUGUAACUUAUUGUAUGUACUUUACGAAUAAGGAUCGGCUAACUCCGUGCCAGCAGCCGCGGU
rnacentral:rRNA from 1 species